CGCACAUUGCGCCCCUUGGUAUCCCAUGGGGCAUGCCUGUUCGAGCGUCAUAAACACCUCUCAAGCGCUGCUUGGUUCUGGGAGCCCGCCGUCACCGGCCCUCCUUAAUUUCAGUGGUCGGACGUCACCGCCAGAGCGUAGUAUAUCGUCUCGCUCCUGGCCGGGGAUCGUUGCUGUCCAGAAACUCCUCUUAGUUGACCUCGGAUCAGGUAGGAAUACCCGCUGAACUUAA
rnacentral:misc_RNA from 1 species